rnacentral:rRNA from 1 species
GAUGAACGCUGGCGGCGUGCCUAAUACAUGCAAGUAGAACGCUGAAGCUUGGUGCUUGCACCGAGCGGAUGAGUUGCGCACGGGUGAGUAACGCGUAGGUAACCUGCCUGGUAGCGGGGGAUAACUAUUGGAAACGAUAGCUAAUACCGCAUAACAGUAGAUAUUGCAUGAUUUCUGCUUGAAAGGUGCAAAUGCAUCACUACCAGAUGGACCUGCGUUGUAUUAGCUAGUUGGUGAGGUAACGGCUCACCAAGGCGACGAUACAUAGCCGACCUGAGAGGGGGAUCGGCCCCACCGGGACUGAGACACGGCCCAGACUCCUACGGGAGGCAGCAGUAGGGAAUCUUCGGCAAUGGGGGGAACCCUGACCGAGCCACGCCGCGUGAGUGAAGAAUGGUUUCGGAUCGUAAAGCUCGGUUGUAAGAGAAGAACGAGUGUGAGAGUGGAAAGUUCACACUGUGACGGUAUCUUACCAGAAAGGUACGGCUAACUACGUG